CACAGCAGGCGGAGAGCAACAACCUCCACCCUUGGGCCCUGGGAGAGAUCUUCAGCCCCCUGCUCCUGCAGCUGCCUGGCGCCAGCCCAGAGCUGAGCCCUGACUUCUCCGUGCUGUUUUUGGAGACACUCCUGCAGACGAAGGAGCUGGAGCCGGAACAGUUGUCUCCAGCCUUGCCUCCCAAACCGCCGAAGCCAA